CACGCCCCCGCCGAGCACCUCUUCUGGGAGCAGGCAGACAGGACCAGUGGACCUGUCUGGAACGAGAGAGGCUGAAGCUCUUGUCCUGGUAGGAGGGGCACUCGACGUAGCUGCCUCUCAUCGCCCCAGCGCUGUGGUCCCAGAAGCAGACAGGCGCACCAAACUGACGACGCACACGGGAGACCUUAUACCUGAGCUGCAAAGACAGAGAAAGUGACAGUGAGACAGCCAUGAAAGAGUGAGACGGACCUCUCUAAAGACAGCCAUGAAAGAGUGAGACGGACCUCUCUAAAGACAGCCAUGAAAGAGUGAGACGGACCUCUCUAAAGACAGCCAUGAAAGAGUGAGACGGACCUCUCUAAAGACAGCCAUGAAAGAGUGAGACGGACCUCUCUAAAGACAGCCAUGAAAGAGUGAGACAGACCUCUCUAAAGACAGCCAUGAAAGAGUGAGACGGACCUCUCUAAAGACAGCCAUGAAAGAGUGAGACGGACCUCUCUAAAGCCAUUAGUAUGCAGAUCUCUGUUUAAAUUGGGUGUGUUGGGUGUGGGUGUGUUUCUCGCACUCUGGGUCUGGUGUCCGUGACGGAUUCCUCCUGUAUCUCCCUCUCGCUGCCCAGAGACAGCCACGGCUUGGGCUCGGGCGUCU